rnacentral:rRNA from 1 species
CAGCCGUAAACUAUGCGCGUUAGGUGUACUGGUGACCACGAGUCACCGGGGUGCCGAAGGGAAACCGUGAAACGUGCCGCCUGGGAAGUACGGUCGCAAGGCUGAAACUUAAAGGAAUUGGCGGGGGGGCACCACAACAGGUGGAGCCUGCGGUUUAAUUGGACUCAACGCCGGGAAGCUCACCGGAUAAGACAGCGGAAUGAUUGCCGGGCUGAAGACUCUGCAUGACUAGCUGAGAGGAGGUGCAUGGCGUAGACGUCU